AAGAUGAGUGCGUGGAGAGUGUGCCUUGGCUGGAAAGUAAGUAAAGCAGGUGAAGCAAUUUAAUAGUCUGUCUCUUCUGCAGCAAAAGGUUUGGUUUUGUUUCCUCUCUCUCUCUGUCUCUCUAUAUACAUCUGUGGCUUCCACCAUGUGAACAAGAACCACGUGCAAGCUUAUGUGUGUGUAAGUAAGUGUGUGUAAUUUAAGAGUGGGAGAAGAAGGUGUCUGUUUGUCUUGUACCAUCAAGCAUUUAUUCUUUGUUGCCUACACCAAUCAAACCCU